rnacentral:rRNA from 2 species
GAGUUUGAUCGUGGCUCAGAGUGAACGCUGGCGGUAGGCCUAACACAUGCAAGUCGAACGGCAGCACAGCAGUAGCAAUACUGUGGGUGGCGAGUGGCGGACGGGUGAGGAAUACAUCGGAAUCUACUCUGUCGUGGGGGAUAACGUAGGGAAACUUACGCUAAUACCGCAUACGACCUACGGGUGAAAGUGGGGGACCGCAAGGCCUCACGCGAUUGAAUGAGCCGAUGUCGGAUUAGCUAGUUGGCGGGGUAAAGGCCCACCAAGGCGACGAUCCGUAGCUGGUCUGAGAGGAUGAUCAGCCACACUGGGACUGAGACACGGCCCAGACUCCUACGGGAGGCAGCAGUGGGGAAUAUUGGACAAUGGGCGAAAGCCUGAUCCAGCAAUGCCGCGUGAGUGAUGAAGGCCCUAGGGUUGUAAAGCUCUUUUACCCGGGAUGAUAAUGACAGUACCGGGAGAAUAAGCUCCGGCUAACUCCGUGCCAGCCGCCGCUGU